rnacentral:rRNA from 1 species
UACGUAGGGUGCGAGCGUUAAUCGGAAUUACUGGGCGUAAAGCGUGCGCAGGCGGUUUUGUAAGCCAGAUGUGAAAUCCCCGGGCUUAACCUGGGAUUGGCAUUUGGGACUGCAAGGCUCGAGUGCGGCAGAGGAGACUGGAAUUCCUGGUGUAGCAGUGAAAUGCGUAGAUAUCAGGAGGAACACCGAUGGCGAAGGCGGCAUCCUGGCCUGUUUCUUGACGCUGAGGCGCGAAAGCUAGGGGAGCAAACGGG